rnacentral:rRNA from 1 species
UACGUAGGUGGCAAGCGUUGUCCGGAAUUAUUGGGCGUAAAGCGCGCGCAGGCGGUCCUUUAAGUCUGAUGUGAAAGCCCACGGCUCAACCGUGGAGGGUCAUUGGAAACUGGGGGACUUGAGUACAGAAGAGAAGAGUGGAAUUCCACGUGUAGCGGUGAAAUGCGUAGAGAUGUGGAGGAACACCAAUGGCGAAAGCACUUUACUGGGCUAUUACUGACACUGAGAGACGAAAGCUAGGGUAGCAAAUGGG